rnacentral:rRNA from 1 species
CUUGAGUCCCGCGCCGCGGACGCGAAGCCGGGUGAGCUAUCCGUNGGCAGGCUGAAGCGGGGGUAAGACCCCGUGGAGGGCCGAACGCACGUCGGUGAAAAACGGCGGCGAUGACCUGCGGAUAGGGGUGAAAGGCCAAUCAAACCCCGGAGAUAUCUCGUUCUCCCCGAAAUAGCUUUAGGGCUAGCGUCGCGCGUUCACCGCCGGAGGUAGAGCACCGGAUGGACGAGGGGGCUUCGCCGCCUACCGAAUCCAACCGAACUCCGAAUGCCGGCGGCCCAGAGCGCGGCAGUCAGAGCAUGUGGGCUAAGCUGUGUGCUCGAGAGGGAAACAGCCCGGACCGCCCGCUAAGGUCCCCAAGUUCCAGCCGAGUGGCAAAGGAUGUGCGUCCGCCCAGACAACCAGGAUGUUGGCUUAGAAGCAGCCAUGCAUUCAAAGAGUGCGUAACAGCUCACUGGUCGAGUGGACAUGCGCCGACAAUACACGGGGCUAAGCUGGACACCGAAGCGGCGGGAUUUUAUCUAUAUAGAAUCGGUAGGGGAGCUUCCCAUGGGCGGUGAAGCCGCCGGGCGACCGGCGGUGGAGCGCAUGGGAGUGAGAAUGCUGGCAUGAGUAGCGAGAGACGAGAGAGUAACUCGUCCGCCGUGAACCCGAGGUUUCCUGGGCAAGGCUAAUCCUCCCAGGGUCAGUCGGGGGCUAAGGCGAGGCCGGGAGGCGUAGCCGACGCGCAGCAGGCAGACAUUCCUGCACCGCGCACGCGGCGCUACGACCGACGGGGCGACGGAUGGGGGUGGCUCGGCGGGGUUCUGGACGUCCCCGUGAUGGAGCGCGGCCCGCGGACCAGGGAAAUCCGGUCCGCACGAGGGCGAGGCUCCGGACGAAGCGAUCAAGCGAAGCGAGUGAGCCCGAGGUCCCUAGAAAAACCCCUAGGCAGGCGCGUGCGCGCCCGUACCGCAAACCGACACAGGUGGGUGGGUAGAACAUACCGAGGCGAUCGGGUCAACCAUGGUCAAGGAACUCGGCACAAUGGCCCCGUAACUUCGGGAGAAGGGGUGCCCGCGCGUACGUGAACGGACUUGCUCCGGGAGCGGAGGCGGGCCGCAGUGGAGAGGCCCAAGCGACUGUUUACCAAAAACACAGGACUCUGCAGAAGCCGCAAGGCGACGUAUAGGGUCUGACGCCUGCCCGGUGCCGGAAGGUCACGCGGAGGAGUUAGCGCAUCGCGCGAAGCCCCGAAGCAAGCCCCGGUAACGGCGGCCGUAACUAUUACGGUCCUAAGUAGCGAAAUUCCUGUCGGGUAAGUUCCGAACUGCACGAAAGGCGCACGACUUGGGCGCUGUCUCGACCAUGGACCCGGUGAAAUUGCCUGGUCGUGGAAAUGCGAUUUACCCGCGAAGGACGAAAAACCCGGGGAACCUUCACUGGACUUGGCAUUGGCCCCUGGCCC